rnacentral:rRNA from 1 species
GAGUUUGAUCGUGGCUCAGAACGAACGCUGGCGGCAUGCCUAACACAUGCAAGUCGAACGAAGGCUUCGGCCUUAGUGGCGCACGGGUGCGUAACGCGUGGGAAUCUGCCCUCUGGUACGGAAUAACUCAGGGAAACUUGAGCUAAUACCGUAUAAUGACUUCGGUCCAAAGAUUUAUCGCCUGAGGAUGAGCCCGCGUAGGAUUAGCUUGUUGGUGAGGUAAAGGCCCACCAAGGCGACGAUCCUUAGCUGGUCUGAGAGGAUGAUCAGCCACACUGGGACUGAGACACGGCCCAGACUCCUACGGGAGGCAGCAGUGGGGAAUAUUGGACAAUGGGCGAAAGCCUGAUCCAGCAAUGCCGCGUGAGUGAUGAAGGCCUUAGGGUUGUAAAGCUCUUUUACCCGGGAUGAUAAUGACAGUACCGGAGAAUAAGCCCGGCUAACUCCGUGCCAGCAGCCGCGGUAAG